GAGUAGGGCGGGACACGUGGUAUCCUGUCUGAAUAUGGGGGGACCAUCCUCCAAGGCUAAAUACUCCUGACUGACCGAUAGUGAACCAGUACCGUGAGGGAAAGGCGAAAAGAACCCCGGCGAGGGGAGUGAAAAAGAACCUGAAACCGUGUACGUACAAGCAGUGGGAGCCUCUUAAUGGGGUGACUGCGUACCUUUUGUAUAAUGGGUCAGCGACUUAUAUUCUGUAGCAAGGUUAACCGAAUAGGGGAGCCGAAGGGAAACCGAGUCUUAACUGGGCGUUAAGUUGCAGGGUAUAGACCCGAAACCCGGUGAUCUAGCCAUGGGCAGGUUGAAGGUUGGGUAACACUAACUGGAGGACCGAACCGACUAAUGUUGAAAAAUUAGCGGAUGACUUGUGGCUGGGGGUGAAAGGCCAAUCAAACCGGGAGAUAGCUGGUUCUCCCCGAAAGCUAUUUAGGUAGCGCCUCGUGAAUUCAUCUCCGGGGGUAGAGCACUGUUUCGGCAAGGGGGUCAUCCCGACUUACCAACCCGAUGCAAACUGCGAAUACCGGAGAAUGUUAUCACGGGAGACACACGGCGGGUGCUAACGUCCGUCGUGAAGAGGGAAACAACCCAGACCGCCAGCUAAGGUCCCAAAGUCAUGGUUAAGUGGGAAACGAUGUGGGAAGGCCCAGACAGCCAGGAUGUUGGCUUAGAAGCAGCCAUCAUUUAAAGAAAGCGUAAUAGCUCACUGGUCGAGUCGGCCUGCGCGGAAGAUGUAACGGGGCUAAACCAUG
rnacentral:rRNA from 1 species